rnacentral:rRNA from 1 species
GUCCACGCCGUAAACGAUGAGAACUAGCCGUUGGAAACCUUAGAGUUUUUAGUGGCGCAGCUAACGCGAUAAGUUCUCCGCCUGGGGAGUACGGCCGCAAGGUUAAAACUCAAAUGAAUUGACGGGGCCCGCACAAGCGGUGGAGCAUGUGGUUUAAUUCGACGCAACGCGAAGAACCUUACCUGGUCUUGACAUCCUGCGAACCUUUCAGAGAUGAGGGGGUGGCCUUCGGGAGCGCAGAGACAGGUGCUGCAUGGCUGUCGU